UCUGCAAAUCCAAAAGUGAAAUUAAAAGCCCUGCAUUCUCUUACCAGUAGCUGCACCUAAAAUCAUAUGACCCGCAACGGCGCUGGCCUUUUAUUUUUGUUUUCAAUCAAGAUCAAUAGCAACAUUUCUGGAAGCAAACGUCUCAAGCAUGUGGGGGGCGGGGAGAGAAACGCCUAAUCUGCAAAGGAUUAAUAUUUGGGUUUUGGUUUUUGUUUAGAGAAAAAUGCCUUACCAAUAAGUUUGUUUCGCGUUAUUUAUGGCAGUUCCCUUCAAGGUUAUCGCGGUUGCCAAGAGACGCAAAAUGGAAAGGAAAACAGGCGGCUGCAUAAAUCGCGGGAGCAAAACUAAAAGUUAUUCCCUCCUCCUCUGCUUUUGGCGGAGAUCAGCCCAGAUCGAAAGCAAAACAAGGGGAGGAAGCCGCGAGGAGCUGAGUCUUGGAAAUCCCCCCCUCCCUUCCUCCUCCUCCUGCUCCUCUUCCAGGCCUGUUUGUGCAGAGAGCGAGAGAAGGGGAGGUGGGGGCUGGAAGGAGAGAAAGGGGUGCGGAAGUUUGCCGCAGCCGUUCAUUGGCAGGCUCCGCUGCUUUCAUCAGUUCUCAGAAAAGUCGAUUUCAUUUUCACUUCCCUCCAGCAACAGCGACAUCAGCCCACGGCGAGCGGGUGGAAAGUGGCUGGUGGGGGAGGGGGAGGCGGAAAUAGAGGUUUCGGUUCCUCGGUAAGGGAAACCAGGGCUUACAAGCAGCUACUGCUUCCCCCCUCCUCCUCCUCGUCUUCGCCUCCUUUUUCUGUGGUCGGAUGCUGUAUGCUGGGGACGGAAUGGCGCCCGAGCAUCUUCCAGAGCCUUGUGCGAAGAGACCCAGGGGGACGGAGAGAUGCUGGAUCCGACCUUGGGCGUUGCACGCCGUGUGUAUGUCACUUGUAACUUCCACCUUUUAAUCUUUGUUCAAAACGCAUACCAAAAGCAAAACUUUGUCUCACACACCAGAGAAAAUAAAAUUAUUGGCAACCAGCACUGCAGCCUUUAAAGGUGGGAUAUUGCUGGACAAAUACCAAAGUUAAUUCCAGUCCACCUGUUGCUAGAAUUCCCUUUUACAUAUACACAUUGACACAUAUAUUACACUUUCAAUUUAUCGAGUUAGCCGAAUUUAAUGGAGGUGUUUGGAGUCAUAGCUCAGUGGUGGAGCAUCUCUAAGUAUAGCUGGAAAAUAUCCUGUGAAACCCAGGAGAGGUGCUGCUGGUCAGUAUUGCUAAAUAGUACUGAGCUAGAAAGACCAAUGGGCCUGACUCAUCAUAAGACAUCUUCCUGUGUUCCUAAAUAAAGGGAAAUUAGGGAAUUAACCAGCUUUGGUUCAUUUAGGGUGCCGGCUGAAGACACCUUUUCUGCCAGGCCCAAUAGAUGCUUGGCUAUGUACUGAGUGAUAUACUAAAUAGAUGGAGAUGGGUAUAUUUCAAAUAAUGUUAUAGUUCUUAUUCUUUAUUGGGUUUUACAUUACUGUGUCAUGCCCCCUGGUCAUGUGUGAUGAAGCGAGAGGGAAUGCAAAAUCCGUAAGUUAGAAAUACACAUUCAAAACAAACAACAAAACAUGCAACUCACAGUUCAAAAACAACCUCUCCUGGAUCUGAAGGUAAGAAGUAAAGCUGUGUGGUACCAGCAUACUGAUGAACACUGCAGCCCAAACCUCCAACUUCUGCCAGUGGUUUCAUGUAGCUGUUAAAGAGCAUAAGGGACAGUAUUGAACCCUGGGAUACACCAGACAGCAAUAGCCAUGAAGUGAAACAAUUGUCUCCCAGUAUCACCUUCUAGAAAGGUUUCUCAGGAACAUAAGGAGCCACCACAGGACCAGGUCUUGUAAAAACAACCUAGAUAAGCAGUCCAGAAGGACACCAUGGCCAAUGAAAGGUCCAGGAGAACUAAGAACAUGGCACUUCUUCAAUCAAUUCUCUGGCAUAAAUCUUCCAUUGGGGGCUCAGGCUGUUCCUGUGCCAAAAGCUGGAUUGGAACAGAUCCAAAUAAUUCAUCAUCCAAGACCAUCUGGAGCUGAGAGGUCCUACCACCUGGCCCAUUCACCUUGCAGUGAAGCUUAUUUUGGAAGCUUACAAAACCACCACAGUUAACGUCAGUGUCCUUUAUUGGUAAUGUCAGCAUGUCCUGGCACUUCUCUCAGGCCUCUAAAAUCUUAACAGAUAAUUUUUUACCAUUCAUCAAGUGUCUCAUACUUAUCAUAACAAUAUUUUUUACCUCAGUCUAGCACCUUUCAUGUGUCUUCCUCUGUCUUAGUUCACAUAAAUACUAACGUACAUAAUUACAGUGGUACCUCGGGUUACAUACGCUUCAGGUUACAUAUGCUUCAGGUUACAGACUCCGCUAACCCAGAAAUGUUACCUCAGGUUAAGAACUUUGCUUCAGGAUGAGAACAGAAAUCAUGCUCCGGUGGCACGGCGGCAGCAGGAGGCCCCAUUAGCUAAAGUGGUGCUUCAGGUUAAGAACAGUUUCAGGUUAAGUACGGACCUUCGGAACGAAUUAAGUACUUAACCUGAGAUACCACUGUACCGGGGAAUCCCUUUAUAGGUUACAUACAUUCUGCAAGCUUCUAUUUCAAAGACUGUUUCACAUCAGAAAAUAAUGCGCUGUGGCUUUGAGGAAGCUGCCAGAAAAAGUGGUUCUUCAAAACAGGAACCUAUAAAUUUGCCCUCUAGGCAAAUUAAAAAACAAAACAAAACAAAACAC